GGGUCGUGAGCUCAGCUGGUAGAGCAGCGGACUUUUAAUCCGUUGGUCCCGCGUUCGAAUCGCGGACGCCCCACCA
rnacentral:tRNA from 1 species